UACAGAGGUCCCAAGCGUUGUUCGGAUUCACUGGGCGUAAAGGGUGCGUAGGCGGUUGGGUAAGUCUGAUGUGAAAUCUCACAGCUUAACUGUGAAACUGCAUUGGAUACUAUCCGGCUAGAGGAGUGGAGGGGAGACUGGAAUACUUGGUGUAGCAGUGAAAUGCGUAGAUAUCAAGUGGAACACCAGUGGCGAAGGCGAGUCUCUGGACAUUUCCUGACGCUGAGGCACGAAAGCCAGGGGAGCAAACGGG
rnacentral:rRNA from 1 species